UAGGGAAUCUUCGGCAAUGGGGGCAACCCUGACCGAGCAACGCCGCGUGAGUGAAGAAGGUUUUCGGAUCGUAAAGCUCUGUUGUAAGAGAAGAACGUGUGUGAGAGUGGAAAGUUCACACAGUGACGGUAACUUACCAGAAAGGGACGGCUAACUACGUGCCAGCAGCCGCGGUAAUACGUAGGUCCCGAGCGUUGUCCGGAUUUAUUGGGCGUAAAGCGAGCGCAGGCGGUUUAAUAAGUCUGAAGGUAAAGGCAGUGGCUUAACCAUUGUUCGCUUUGGAAACUGGUAAACUUGAGUGCAGAAGGGGAGAGUGGAAUUCCAUGUGUAGCGGUGAAAUGCGUAGAUAUAUGGAGGAACACCGGUGGCGAAAGCGGCUCUCUGGUCUGUAACUGACGCUGAGGCUCGAAAGCGUGGGGAGCAAACAGG
rnacentral:rRNA from 1 species